UACGUAGGGUGCAAGCGUUAAUCGGAAUUACUGGGCGUAAAGCGUGCGCAGGCGGUUUUGUAAGACAGUGGUGAAAUCCCCGGGCUCAACCUGGGAACUUCCUUUGUGACUGCAAGGCUAGAGUACGGCAGAGGAGGGGUGGAAUUCCGCGUGUAGCAGUGAAAUGCGUAGAUAUGCGGAGGAACACCGAUGGCGAAGGCAACCCCCUGGGCCUGUACUGACGCUCAUGCACGAAAGCGUGGGGAGCAAACAGG
rnacentral:rRNA from 1 species